AUGUGCUUCGGGAGCAGCCCUAGAAAAGGCAAAAAAAAAAAAAAAGGAUGGUUCAUUGAUUUAUUCCCUCUUUUCUUCAACAGCUAUGGAGUCCUGACUAUGUUCUGGACACUCUUAGAAAAGCAUGAAGGAGGCUGCCCGUCCCUGUUGGAUGUGACAGCACCGUGUGGGUGUGUCAGAGCUGAACUCUUGUCUUCGGCCCCCGUGUCUCUCCCAGCCACUCACUCGCCAGGCUUCCAGGGCCAGCUGUCUCAGUAUUCCUUGUUCAGAGUUUUACCUCCUGGGCUGGAUUACAGGUUCCUCGGGAGAGGCUAGACUUCCUAUGUGUUGUCUGUAAUCCUCAGCACAAGACUAAACAUGCAGUUGCACUUGGUAAGCACUUGUGAAUAAAGGAAACAGAGAGGCAGAAUAUUUGCGGAUC
rnacentral:lncRNA from 1 species